rnacentral:lncRNA from 1 species
UGGUGCAGAGUAUAAAUGUAUUGAAAUGGAAAAUUCAUAAGUAAAUAAUCACUUAAAUGUUCAAAACCGAAGAUGACUAAUGCUUAAGCCUCCUACGUACGAUCUUCCUACAAGGCUUAGGAUGUUUGCAGAGUCGAAACUGAAAACAGAGAAGCUGAAGAAGAAUCGAAAAGAAAGAUGCUUCAUAUGACAGUCUAGAAUCAGAAUACCACUAAUUGGUAUCUACCCGAUUGCAGGUACCAAUCGUGCCCCCCACUGUCCCUGCAUAUGCCCCAUAGUACUGAAAUCUGUUAAGAAACCAUAGUUGACAAUUUCAGCUAGUGUUAAAAUAACUAUGAAGUCAACAAAUCUAACCAAUCAUAGCAAGGGAGGUAUGAAAGCCACGUUAUUUGUAGUUUAAACUCAUUCCAAAGGACUGCUUAAAUGCUGUUAAACUAGCACAAAUAAUUUUCAGAUGGCAUCUUACCAAACAAGUUGCUGAAACAAUAAUAAUCAAUUUGCUCAGUACACAAGGCUCCCGAGUUCCGAAUUGCCUUGCCCUUAUUCCUUUUUUAUAAAAAGCUAACAAACUUCAUAGACAACACUUAACAGGGAGAGAAGGUUCGGAGAGAUGAAGCAUUUUAGCCAUCCCCACGUUCUGCAUCUCGCGGAAGUAGACGAAGGAGAUGAAAUAGUUUGCUCAGGCUGUGAGCAGUACAUUUCAGGCUAUGUUGUGAGCUGCACCAACUCAGAAUGCAGCUUCUAUCUUCACCAAUCUUGCUACAGCUUGUCAAGAACCAUCAAACAUCCAUCUCACCCGGCCCACCAUCUGACCCUGGUUACGCAAUCUCCCUAUGAAAUCGGUGAGUUCGUUUGUGAUGCUUGCGGUGACCAGGGAAGUGCCUUCCAUUUUCACUGCUCCACCUGCAAGUUUGAUCUGGACCUCAAUUGUGCACUUCGUCGCCAGGCUGUGACUCGCGGCACGGGUCAUGUGGUGAUCAACACGGCUCAUUCGUCCUCCGUUUCGAAUCGAAGAAGAUCGGCCUGCUAAUGUUGCUUUGAAUCUGCUCUUGCAAUGAUUUUUAUGUUUGAAUCUGAUCCUCUUUGUAUUGAAUCUACUUCAUCCUGUUUUCUUAUCCGGGUCCAGGUCCAGGUCCUAAUAUAUGUAUGCUGGGGACCGUUAAAAAACAUACAGGUUCCUCGCAGUUGGAUGAAUAUCCAGGGGUCUGGAUAUUUAUCCAACGGACAGGAAUCUGUGUGUUUUUAACAGGUCCCUUCUUAUCCAGCAGAUCAAAAUUAUUAUUCAUGUGCCU